CCGGGACCUCAAGAUGGCCACACUGAUACAAUAUAGUUUAAUUUCCAGCCAAGAUGAGAGUUAACCGAGACAUAUAUGGUGGAUAAAAAGCUCUUAAAAAUAUGGGUGUUCCGAGGAAAGUAUACCACUAGGGAAUGUGGGUUACAUUAGUAAUGGAGGAAUAUUUUGAGAGCAGACGAAACUAAAGUGUUGCCACGGUGACGGUGGUGGUGGACAUGACACAGAUGCGGGAGGUGGAGUUUGUGCCCGAUGGAGACAUGCAGCUGGACAAAUUGUGUUGGUCAUUGGUCAGACUGGAGUUUACAUGUGUACCUCCUUCACCAUCAUUGGUGGACACUUCACCAUGAGUGAUGCUUGAGCUGUCACGGUGUUGCUGGUGCUGUGUGCCAUCAUCACCCUGACACAGACCACCCUGCAGACACCUUAAUCCUGGGUGCCACACGUCGCUGCUGCUACAACUCAGAGCAACAAGAGCACAAGCCAGGAAGGGAAAUGUAUGAGACCGGUGUUCAGGAAGCACAAGCAUGUGCUGAAUAACAAGAAGCCGGCGUGGCUCAAGAGGAAGAGUGAGUAGGACGAGAAAAAACAGAACAAAUAAAUCCCCUACACGUGUUGUCUCCAUUGACACAAGCCAUGACAAGCUUGUCCAUCCCUGAGUGCUAAGGAGCAGUGUGUUCAACUGAUGAUGUGGAAACUUGAGACAGCCAAUCAUUUAAUGGACUUUAGUAGGUUUUGUCACCAGUCCUCUGUGUGUCACUCACUACAUUUUGAAAUUUUUACUUGUUCUAUUUAAUUUUGUGUGUAUGUACACAAUGUUUAUGGUCAAUAAACUGUUCAUAAAAACUAUUUAUCUGUGUGAGUAAGAUAAAAGCAGUUAUUAUUAUUA